AGUGAGAGGUUCCCCAUCAUGCUCAAAUUUAUGCUCCAACAUCUGCCACCAAUUAAAUGCUUCUCCCUGCAACAUGUAUGAUGCAAACAAAAGUUUUUCAUCGUCCCGGCAUCUUAAGACAGUAAAUGCUUUUUCCAUUUAUGUAAGCCAAUUGUCUGCUUCCAAAGGUUCUGUAGUCCCCUGAAAAGCUGGAGGAGCCAACCUCUUAAAUUUAGCUAUGCUGCUACGAUGUUCACACUGUUCCCCUCGUCCUUGUUGAGGCUGUGUCUGGAGCAACUGUGCUUGUUGUUGGAGCAACUGCUGUUGCACCUGCUGUUGCAUUUGCAUGAGACCCACCAUGGUCUGCAUAACCUGGCUUAAGCCCGGUUCCUGUCCCGUUUGAGGGCUCAUGACUCCCUCCUGCUGAGGG
rnacentral:lncRNA from 1 species